CCUCUUACCUGGCAGGGGAGAUACCACAAUCUCCAAGGUGGUUUCCCCUGGGGUGAGGCUCAUCCCUGGCACUGCAGAUGUGCAGAUCCUAUAUUUCCCCAAAUUAAAAAAAAAAAAAGAAGCUGCUGUGUGGC
rnacentral:snRNA from 1 species